UGCCAGCCGCCGCGGUAAUACGGAGGGGGUUAGCGUUGUUCGGAAUUACUGGGCGUAAAGCGUACGUAGGCGGAUCAGAAAGUUGGGGGUGAAAUCCCAGGGCUCAACCCUGGAACUGCCUUUGAUACUAUCUUACUAGAGAUCGAGAGAAGUUGGCGGAAUUCCAAGUGUAGAGGUGAAAUUCGUAGAUAUUUGGAAGAACACCAGUGGCGAAAGCGGCCAACUGGCUCGUUUCUGACGCUAAGACGCGAAAGCGUGGGUAGCAAACAGGAUUAGAUA
rnacentral:rRNA from 1 species